CAUAGUGUAGCUUAACACCAAAGCAUCUGGCCUACACCCAGAAGAUUUCAUAACAAUGAACACUCUGA
rnacentral:tRNA from 1 species